GAUCAGGAAUUUGUUGCAAAACAGGUCUCAUUUACUUGCUGCCUUUGACUCUUUCCAAAACCAUACUGCUGCCAAAAAUUUUUUGUUUUAAGUUUUUACUUGAAGUUUUUAUCCUUGAAAAGGUAUAUUUUAUAAUGUCAACAAUUAGUGAACUAUUAAAGUAACAUCUAUUGCUACUUAUAUAUAUAUUUCACUGAUGAAUCACUUGGGAGUUGUUUUUGUGUCUUUUUUUUUAUCAGCUCAUAUAGAGCGCGGUUGUUAUUAUUGGUGGAGGCUCUGAAUGUAUUUUCUGUUGCUUUUUAUUUUUUGGUGAAGUUUUCCAUAAAUAUAGGAUUUCAUGUAAGUGGUUGUUAAAUAUCUAAGUGUCCAUUCUUGUUUAUGGUUCUUUCUUUUACUACGAAAUUUUAGAUACUGUUCUGGCGGACAGGAAAAAAAAAGACAAAUAAGUUUCUUAAAUUGGUCUUCCUCACUGAGAAGAAAUUGUUAUCGAAACAAUACUGUAUUGGCUAAUUGGACUUUGGCUCAUCCGUCUUUUUAAAUAAGCACGAUAACUUCACUUAAAUUAACCUGGUCAAGUGGAAUAGUUUUGAGGGCCAGUUAGACUUUUGCCAUUCAUUUUCCACAUGAUAUAAUACUCCAAAGAAGCCUAAUAUCGAUAUAACAAACUCUGCAUCAAGUGAAGUUCCCCGAUCCUGUUCCAUGUACCAAUAAUUCAUAUUCUGCAUAUCCUAUGUCACAUUGAAUGUAGGAAAUGUACAAUCCCCCUUUCUGCUUUACUUAUCUCAUCAAUCAGCAUACUUAGUAUUAUAGUACAUAAAGCAAUAUUAAGUAAAAAUACACAAAAUAUUCUGACUGAUUUUUAUGACUAAUAAAAUAUUAGCGAUAUCUGUAUUAUAAGAGAGUUAAAAUGGAUAGAUACCUUUUUUUUUUAGUGUACUUCCUCAUUUUUGUUUUCCAUUUUCAUACUUUCAUUUGGCUGGAGGUCUAUAUGCACUCAUAUUUAAAUAUCACCAUUCUGUACUGCUCCUAUGGAGACAUUUGGUUUAGUGUUCACUCUUUUAACUGCUCUUUUUGCUAUUGCAAUUGAUUUCCUUCAGAUCCACGCAGUUGUGUUACUU
rnacentral:misc_RNA from 1 species